UGUUUUUGUCAAUAUUGCAAAAGCCUUUUUUCUCACCCCAAGGCAAUCGCUGCCCUGAAAUAAUCUUCCACAGACUUCUUUAAUAAGAAGAGGAAAUGCACAACAUGUUUUAAAUCUUUUCUGUGGACGACACAUUAUGGCUCUGUGGCUGUUUAAUGAUCUACAAUCCUGUGGGUCCAACCUGUAGAUCUAACCCACUGGCAGCACAAUUCCCUUUCUGGGAACGAAAAAAAAAGCAGGCAGGUAAAAGCUGCUCAUAAAGGCUGACGGCUGCACUUACAAAACAGUGACUGAAGGAAGAGAAGCUGAAAAGACGGUAAGUGCAAUAGAUUUUUAAUAUUUAAUAGAUAAAAACACAGUCGACAGAUAUCUGAGGCCACUUUUCUAAAUCUGUCAAAACUGAUGGAUCAUCAUCGGGUGUUUAUCUAUAAUUUGUGACUGCGACUGUGUUGUGAAGAAAGUCGUAACGGACCCCUGUGUAAAGUUGUUCACUUCAAGGACUUUAAGAUGAGGCUCCAAAGAGCCAGUACACCCAUGUCUGACCUUUUCACCUCGUCACACACUCUCACACAGACACACAAAACGCCGCAAGGGCUGACCUCUUUACACUGAUUAACAUUCCAUCAGGUUAGGAGGGGCGAUGAGAUAGUUUCCCCUCACCUUCUUGUUUUCUGUUUCUCUCUUUUCCUUUUUUUUGUUUUUUUUUAAAAGAAAAACCUCCAUCAUCUCUCCCAGGCUUUUCUUUCUGUUUGCCUACUCAAACACAAUUAUCCCACCCCUCCAAUUUCCUUCACCGUGGCGCUUUUAUUAAGCUUCUUUCUCCUUCUUUCUCCCUUCAUAUCCAUUUUCUCCUAUGGGUGUUUUAAUGUUUUAGCAAGAGUGUGCAUGUGUGCCGGCAUGUCCUGGCAGGUCUGUUUCUCAGCUACCAGGCUUACAAGAACUUGCCCGACUAACCCCAUAGGGCCAGAGUUUGUGUACAUAAUUUACACGCAGACUUAUAUAGAUGAAUACUUAAAAAUACAGAUAUAUUUUUAUAUACGUGCACAAAAGCAGAAUCACACAUUUUAUCACUCUGGCAGCGAGAGUAACAAAAACGGGAAAAUGACUAGGUGUUUCAUUAACUAUUCUGCACCUUUUCUGCUUUAUUAAGACCUGUGACUCAUGUUCAUCUCUACACCUGCUCUCUCCAGGCUUUUUGUGGCCGUUGGUGCAGAGCAGCACCCAGCAGCUUGUGUGUGUGUCUGCUAGAGUGAAGUUCAGCUCAUGAAGACUGCACACGGACACGUGCAUGCUGCUCUCCAACUUGCUGAAUGGGGCAGAAGAAGAGAUUUGACUGCAGAAGGACCUUAGUUGCUGAACAGCAGUUGGUUGAUGGGAGAAGGGGAAAAAAAGCUAUUAAAUGUCUGCAAAGUUGCUAAAUGUAGCAAAAACAGCCAAGCUGAAACAGGAAGAGGAUCACUGCUUAGAUCUCAGUUUCAGAAAGGAAGAUUAUCCGGGAUAACCGUGAGAGCUACACCUCGCUCCUCAGAUCUGGUUUCAGAACCCCAACAUACGAACGGAAACAUCUUGAAGCUUCAAAACAGCGCUUCAGAAACCAGUAACGGAUGCUACACCUAUCUUUUACGCCGACUGUGGCCUUUCUCACCAAGCUUGUUUGCAACUUCCCAUCAGAAAAUGUGUGACGCCUCAAGUAGCACCAGAUAGUGAGGGGUGCCUACGUAACACCUUAGAAAAGCAGUUAAAUUGUGCUGUAUGGGAAAAAAAUAUAUUAAUAAUAAAAAAUAAUAAAUAUUCAAAUCAAAUAAAUAUUUUGGCAUCUUAAUUUAAAAAGAAUUGUCGAUCAAAUAACUACUGAAAAAAAAUAUCUUAACAGUCAAAUAUUAUUUUAGGCUCUUACGCUCAGCACACAGUAAUUACAGGGUGCACGAAAAAUAAUAAUAAUAAUGACAAUAAGACAUUACUGUUCACUGUAUGCAUAUACUUUUACUUUCUAUACAACAAAAAGCCUUUUCAAACUUUUAAAAGUCCUUUAACAGUCACUAGCAUCCUUACAUAAGACCAUAAUUACCUCUUGUAAAAACAUUAAAACCUGUUUGUUGAGCAGGAAAGGUUAACUUCGGUAAGAGUUUAGAUACAUACGGUACAUGCCCACACACAAACAAGGUGAGUCAUAAAGAAAUCGGUGAACGACCACAAAAACAGAUUGUGGCACCCAGAGCGUCACUGUCUUUCAGUUGUGACUUAUUACUUGAGAGAGAAACGCAAAUAAAAGCCGGGAUGAUGAAAAGACAUGAAGGUGGAUGAAAGACGCCUGGCGCACCUACAAGAAAUCUUUACAAGUUAAGAAACAGUGUGUACAAGGCCACAGAACCACAUGUCCAUAUAAACCAGUUAUAAAAGGGAAAAAAGAGCAGGAUGAACAAUAAGUGUGCAUAUCUGUGUGUGCGACUGUGUUUGUAUGCAGUCGAGUGUGAGCCAGACUCCAACUGAGAGGGGAGGCAAUAGCAAUUCCCACUGACCUGAAAACUAGCUUGCCAGCCACCUCAAAAUACAGAGGGAUGGAAAAAAAAAAGAGGGAGAAUGUCAGUGAACACGAAUGGAGUGAAAAUACAGAAAAUACAGAUUUAGAAAUAGUGGCGAGCGGUCGUGUAGAAAAGAUUUGAAGAAAAAAAAAAAUACCCAGGUGCAGUGAGGGGAUUACAGAAGGAACGGGACUCGACGCCCCCUCUGCACCGCUGGCUCAAAUGAAAAGAAUGAUGAGACAAAAAAAAAAAGAGAGAGAGAAAACAGAUUGACAGAAAACGAUGGAAGGAAAUGUGCACGAGGCAUCUGCACACACCCAACAGGAUGGAAAACAAGUGUGAGACAGUUUGUUUAAGUGCUGACAGGGACUCUGCAUGGGUGUGUGGAUGUGUGGGAGCAUGUCCCUUUUUUUGCUUUUGUGACUCCCAAGGUCUCCCGCGGUCAAGAGCGGAUCCCCUUUCUCUCUCGUGCCCUCUUUUCAUACACUUAUCCCCCCGCCCCCCAACGCACACUCUUUUUUUUUCUUUUUUUUAUACACUCAUUCCUCGUCCCCUCCCUCUCUUUUAGCGCAGCGCUGAAUGGCCCUCUCUUUCUGAUGAGUGACUGAUGAAUGAAGUAGCUCUUUGAAGUCAAGAGUCACAGCAAGGCUGGUCAAGCGUGAAGAGAUGCUGGACAAAAGAUGGCAGAGAGCGAGGGGAGAACGGGAAGGAAGGGAGGAAAAGAGAGAGAGAGGGGGGGGGGAGCACAUGUGGGGGAACAGUGAACAUCAUAAAGUCUGUAAGGGACAGAGGGAGCAUGUGUGUGGCAGAGAGAGCAUGGUCUGCAUUUUUGCAUGAGUGCCUCGGACUAUUUGCAUUGUGAUGCUCAAAAGGCCAGCAUCACGCAAAUGGGAAAUAACCCAGGUUGCGAUGAAGUGACAUCUUUCUGGACUCCAGGGACUUUUAUGCACCUUAAAUACCUCUGCUCUCUUUCAUCUAUUGCUAUAGACACUCAGAAGCAGAGAAAAUGGCUACUGUCUAGAUGUUUUUUCCUGUUUUUUUUUGGUUUGUUUUUUUAUAAAUACUCUUAAUGGUACUUCUCUUUAAUUGGUUUCGGUGGUUUAAGUGUUGCAUUACAGUAAGUAUCUUGCCUUCUGCAAAUUAAUAGCCUUUUAGUCCUAUAACCGGUAUUUGUCUUUGUUUAUGCGUAGGGUUUCUGUGUAUCAGCUGCUUAAUUUGAAUCAUUUUUUUUCCAAAUCCCCCUGCCUCGCCGCCCCUUUCAGUCAACACCAUGUUUAAAUUACUUUCCUAGCUGGUAAAAAGGAAAAAAGCGUAAAUGAAACAGAACAAUCUCACUUGUUUUACUCAUUGUCUGGGAACACCUUGCUUCACAAUGACACACUCACCUCUGAAAGCUUCUCCGUGCUUAAAGGCUCAUUGGUGGUGGGGUAACAUUUGUUGAAAGCUUUGGAGCUAACACCUCAAAUUACCUGGCUUUCCACUAGAGGAGAAUAUGAAAUUCAUAGACGGCAGCGGAGUGACAAGCAGUCAUUGAGAAAGCGGUUUGAUAGUUAUUGCUUUGGCUUCAUUUGUCGAGUAAUUACAGACCGGGAUGUGCAGCCAAGUCCAAUUUUGAGAACAAGCGAAAAACACAAAAACAAAGACUGAACGAUUUCAAUACAUCUCGAGCUCUUAAUAUCCAGUGUAGUAACAAGGCAUGUCUUAUCAGCAUUUGGUGGGACUUUUGGAUCCCAUUUGCCUUCGACCAUGGGGAGAAGACUCCAUUAAAGGGAAGCGCACAUAAUUAACUGUUUGCCUUAAAGAGGCAGGAUAAGUCUUGUCUCUCAUAAACAUCUAAUUUACAUACUCAGCUCUAAUUGGGCUGUUAUGUUCUAUUUUCCAGGACAUGACGAAGCCCUCUUAAGCACCGCUAAGUGAUGCGUUUUCAUGCGUUUGAACUCGUCAGAGCUCUUUUUUUGGUCAUCUGUUCGGUUGUCCAAUAAAAUAUUUUUUUAGGGGUUAGCAGGACUACCUUGGAGAUAAUUACAGCAUACCAAAAUAUCCGGGGUUUAGGCCGAGACUGGAGUGGAAUGCUCGAAAGCGUAUUAGCAGUGGAUGCCUCCUUUGCUCAUUGACUAAGUAUGAAAAUAAACUUUGAAACAGAUGUUCAGGCUUAGUUGGGGAGUUAUCUAAAAAUAUCCGCAACGGGCAGCGCUGGGGUGCAGUGGUUAGCACGGCUGCCUCACAGGAAGGAGGUUCUGGGAAUCCACACUGGUCGACUGAGUCCUUUCUUUAUGGAGUUUACAUGUUCUCCCUGUGCUCGAGUGGCUUCUCUCCGCUGUACUGGCUUCCUCCCACAGUCCAAACGUGCAUGGCGUUAGGUUAAUUAGGAUUUCUAAAUUGGCCAUAGGAGUGAAUGUGAUUUUCAACAGUUGUCUGUUUCUCUGUUAUCCCUGCGAUAGACUGUUGAUGCAAUGUUCGAGUGGUUGGUUAUGGUAUUAGCCUUGCCUCUCCAUGUGUAUCUACUAUAAUAAAUACAGCAGUUUUAAAUAUAAGACACUACACUGACUGCUGAAAACAGUACAGCCUCAGUGGGACUGGAUUUUCCCUGCCUAUUAAAGCCUAAGUAACCAAUCAAUGUGCUUGUUAGGACAACUCCAGGGGAAAAUCUGAAAUAUUGAUACACUUUGUAUCUUUUUCAAGUACUAGUCUUAAAAAUGUCACAACACUGUACUAUGCAUGUGUAGGAGCUCCUGAAGUAAUUUAGUAUUUUUUUGCAUUUAUUUGACAGGCUAACAAAAAGUAUAAAACUGGAAGCUGGUGGAAGUUUAGUAUCUUACUUAAAGACUCUAACAACACAAAGCUGUUGGAAGACAUAUUACAUAUCAUGGGGGAUCAAACCAGUGAUUUCACUGUUACAAGACUUCUUCCUAAACUUCUAGUAUAAAGUAUCAAAGGAGAUAUUUUAAGGAAUUGACGGGCUUAGCAGACAUGAAAGACCCACUCCCUAGAAUUCCCUUUGUAACUUGGCAAUUACCCCAAGACCACCUGAUUUUUCUGUCUGUGCACAUGAGGGAAAAAAAAGGCACAGACAGAGAGUGGGGGAAAAAAGAAAUCCACCGUACAGUUCCCCAGGGUGAGAGAGGGAGAGAACACUAUACUCCUCCUGUGUUUAUCUCAAUCUCACAUCAGAUCAGAUCACUGGCGGAUAAAGGCACAUCCUGACACAUCACUUCCUCUCUCUGGAGGAAGCUGACACGCGCUGGGGACUCGGAAUGACAGCGGUGGUGGCGCGCAGGAUGAAGAAGUAAAAGUUUUUUUUGACAGAGCGAAAGAGAGAAGGGGAAAGAAGGGGAAAACAAAGGUGAACCUGACAUACUUGCAGCCCAGAUCCACAGAGCCAAGUGAGAUGAAGAAGAGGAGGAGGAGGAAGAGCGGCAAGAGACAAAGAGCUACAGAUGGCGCACAGAGGGCUGAAAUGAAACCAGAACUUCGGGGGCUUGUUUCCAGAGGGCCACAGAAUCACUUCGGUGGCGGUGGCGAGGGUUGACAUUUGACAGUCGGCAACAGAGGGUGGAAGAAAAGGAGUGACACACAGAGCGGGAGAGGCUGUGUAAUGAUUAAGAAACACAUCACUCUUGCUUUCCUGUCCCACACUCAUGCUCUCUCUCUGUCCGCCUGUCUGUCGUCAGUCUUCAGCAUACAUCCAUACUGGUCUGGUAAGACUCUGCUCUAUGUUACUGUCAUUCAAGUUCAAUCAAUCAAUGACAAAAAAACCCAACCUAUCUAAUCCAUAGCACUCAAUCAAUAAUGAAGUCUUGCAGGCAGGGCAAUGAUAACCUUUCACAUACCAUUCAAUGGAGAUGAUGUUUAGCGGUCCCUCUUCUUCUCCUGCCCUUACAAUCCAUUGAGGUGAAACAGCUGGGGCCAAUCAAUUACAUGCAACGGCCUCAACUCGGCUUCACUGUACCGGUUUGAUUUCUGUGCCGGUUCAUGUUGACUUUAAGGUUGAUUCUGUAAUACCCAACGUCAACAGUUUGCUUCUAAUCAGACAUUUGCAUCCCUGAUCAACCAGAGCCAACCUUUCGUCUGCUGCAAAACGUCUGCAGAUGGACUCCAUGGCAUCGAGUCAAACUAAAACCCUGCGUAUGUGUGUAGUGAUGAGGCCCAACAGAGGUAUUGGCAUAUUCUAUUGAGCUAAAGUCUCUGCUCUGAAUCCUGAGGCUGUGUUAUACGUUGACGCAAUGACCUGAGAAUGAACCUGAGCUGAACUGUAGUCAACGCGAAGCAGCAGUGAAGCACAGACCUGUCAAUUCUACGUUACCAAAGGAGAAAAUAGAUACAGACUACAUCUCAACUUUUUCUAACAGAAGAGAAAUAACUAUUUUAUUUGAGGACAACUUGAAACAGCAUUAAACUAAACAGACUACAAAGUAUCAAAACCUUUACUUAACUUUUUAAAAAAACCCAAACAAAACUAUUUGCUGUAUGAUAACAAAUGAUUAUCAUUUUCCCCAAUGCAAGAUAAAGCUAAAUGACGAACUAGUAGUCCAAUGUUUACCGAUCCACCUGACAUUAUCCACUGUCCUGUUAAAACCUCAAAUAGGCUGUGAGCAACGAGUUGAUAUUUGAAGCUUUUGGCACGUCUGUGCUGGCUUCAUUAUUCAACUCCACACUAAAGCAUUUUAAGCUUUAAAAAGAAAACUUCAAAUAAAACAGUUUGAGCAGUAAGAACUUUGGACUAACGGCCUGGUGGCAGCUUGUACAGAUAUACAACCUAUAACAAAGCUUCUUUCGGUAUGGUCCCCCAAACGUGCAUGGAGAGGGGUCUUCGCCCACCACAGAUGCACUUCUGUGCAGUCCUCUAAAAUCCUAACUGUGCAUUUCUGGAAGCUGAUGAUGCAUCGGUCUGCCGAAUGCUGAUUACUGGGAACAGGAGAACCAUGAAAACUUCAAAGAUCAAAAAAUACAGAAUGAAAAGCACAGACGGUGGCCUCAG